GACGAACGCUGGCGGCGUGCCUAAUACAUGCAAGUCGAACGAACAAAGGAGGGGGUUUCUUUGCUCUGGAUGGGGGGGGACCGGGGGGGAACCCGGGGAUAAACCUCCCCUCAUCCUUUGGUAACCCCGAGAAACCGGGGCCUAAAACGGGUAAUUUAUGGUUCGUCGUCUUUUAGUCGUGGGAAAGGUUUCUGCUUUUAUUGUGUUUUUGGUGGGCGCUGGGCUCGCGGCUUAUCAGCGUGUUGGUGGGGUGAGGGCCUACCAAGGCGGUGACGGGUGGGCGGCCUGAGAGGGUGGACGGUCACACUGGGACUGAGACACGGCCCAGACUCCGACGGGAGGCAGCAGUGGGGAAUAUUGCACAAGGGGCGCAAGCCUGAUGCAGCGACGCCGCGUGAGGGAUGGAGGCCUUCGGGGUGUGAACCUCUUUCGACAGUGAAGCAGGCCUGCCUCUUUUUGUGGGUGGGUUGACGGUAGCUGGAUAAGAAGCGCCGGCUAACUACGUG
rnacentral:rRNA from 1 species